UGCCACAGCCAUAUCACUCCACAGCCCAAGACUGGUUACUCGCUGAAGCUAAGCAGGGCUGAGCCUGGUCACUACCUGGAUGGGAGACCACAUGGGAAAACAAGGUUGCUGUUGAGA
ensembl:rRNA 5S_rRNA 5S ribosomal RNA